rnacentral:lncRNA from 1 species
UUCUAGCUAAAUUCUAUAUAUAUAUAUAGAAUUUAGCUAGAAUUUACACCUACCACUACCUACCACCAUCAUCCCAACCUUACAUUUGUCCAUCCAAGGAUUAAAAACUCAAAAGCACCAACCUUUUGGUGCUUUUGAGAGUAUUCUAGCUCAACUCUCUCUCUCUAUAUAUAUAGAGUCCGGCUACUAUACUCUUAUGAGUACGAUCGCCUUCAUAUUCAUAAGUUAUUUUCGAUGAUAGAGCUUCCAAAUCGACGAUCCAUACCGUUAAACAUUAUCUAGAGUAUUUAAAACCUCUAGAAAUCAAAUUUUAUAAUUUUUCGAUAUCAUUUACCUUACGAUCAAAAGCUCACAAAAUUGUCAAUUUUUAACGGCCGAUAUGAGAUAUUUGCUAGUUUAACGGUGAAAAAGAAUUGGAAUAGGUUGAAUUUUUGAUAGAAAAUUCUAUUCAUUACCUAAAUAAAGAUCAAUAACUCCGAUCUUAAAUUGAAGGAUCCGAUCAUCCAUUUUUAAGAUGUCGUUCGAUUUUAACUGUUCAUUUUAUACCAGCUUGAUGGACUUUAUAAUGAUUUCGAAAAAUUACGAAAUUUAUUUUCUAGAAGUUUCAAAUACUCUAGAUCAUUUUUAACGGUAUGGAUCGUCGAUUCGAAAAGCCCUAAAUCGAAAACAACUUAUGAGUACGAAGGGCUCUACACUCACAA